rnacentral:rRNA from 1 species
CCUACGGGAGGCAGCAGUGGGGAAUAUUGCACAAUGGGCGCAAGCCUGAUGCAGCCAUGCCGCGUGUGUGAAGAAGGCCUUCGGGUUGUAAAGCACUUUCAGCGGGGAGGAAGGCGGUGAGGUUAAUAACCUCAUCGAUUGACGUUACCCGCAGAAGAAGCACCGGCUAACUCCGUGCCAGCAGCCGCGGUAAUACGGAGGGUGCAAGCGUUAAUCGGAAUUACUGGGCGUAAAGCGCACGCAGGCGGUCUGUCAAGUCGGAUGUGGAAUCCCCGGGCUCAACCUGGGAACUGCAUUCGAAACUGGCAGGCUAGAGUCUUGUAGAGGGGGGUAGAAUUCCAGGUGUAGCGGUGAAAUGCGUAGAGAUCUGGAGGAACACCGGUGGCGAAGGCGGCCCCCUGGACAAAGACUGACGCUCAGGUGCGAAAGCGUGGGGAGCAAACAGGAUUAGAUACCCGUGUAGUC